UAUGUUUCUUGAUUUUUUAUAAUACAGAAUAAAAAAAAAUCUGUUCUCAUCAGUUUAAUAUCUGAUAUGUCCCCUAUCUGGGGACCAUAUAUUAAAUGGAUUUUUGGAAGAGGGAGAUGAAAUAAGAGCUUGCUCUGUCCACUCCACGCAUCGACCUGGUAUUGCAGUACCUUCAGGACCGGUGCACUUCUC
rnacentral:snRNA from 1 species